GGAGUGAUGCUCGAGUGGCUGAAGAGGCUGAUCUGGAAAGUCAGUAACCGUCAAAAGCGGUUCGGGAGUUCGAAUCUCCCUCACUCCG
rnacentral:tRNA from 1 species